AGCUCCAAAAGUGUAUAUUUAAGUUGCUGCAGUUAAAAAAGCACAUAGUCGGAUGUCGGGCUUGGUCGAUCUGUCCAUCGCCAGACGUGUCACUGGUCGGCCGGCUAAUGCAGCCUGUGUCCCGGCAGUACUCUUGAUUGAGUGCCGCCGGUGGGCUAUGCCGGUUACUUUGAAAAAAAUUAGAGUGUUCAAAGCAGGCCCUGGGAGCCUGAAUAUCGGUGCACAGAAUAACGAAAGAGGACCUCAGUCUUGCUUUUGUUGGUUUUUGAAGGCGAGAGGUAAUGAUCGAGAGAGACGGACAGGGGUAUCCGUACUGUUCCGUCAGAGGUGAAAUUCUUGGACCGGCGCAAGACGAACUACUGCGAAAGCAUUUGCCAAGAAUGUUUUCC
rnacentral:rRNA from 1 species